rfam:Oryza glumipatula chromosome 2, whole genome shotgun sequence.
UUUAAGUGUAAGCAUAAUUUUUUUAUCCAAUUUUGAUCAUUCAUUUUAUUUAAAAUUUUUUAUAAUUAGUAUUUUUUAUUAUGAGAUGAUAAAAUAUGAAUAGUAUUUUACUCGUGACUUAAAUUUUUAAAUUUUUUCAAAUAAAACGGACGGUCAAAAUUCAGCGUGGAAAACUAUGGCUGCACUUAAA